GAAUCCCACAGGCCGUAAACCCAAGGUUUCCAGGGGAAGGUUCGUCCACCCUGGGUUAGUCGGGACCUAAGCUGAGGCCGAAAGGCGUAGGUGAUGGACAACAGGUUGAUAUUCCUGUACUACCGAUAACCGUUUGAGAGAAGGGAUGACACAGUAGGAUAAGCUAAGCACACUGUUGGUUAUGUGUGCCCAAGCAUUGAGGCAGUCAAAGUAGGCAAAUCCGCUUUGAUAAUGCUGGGAUGUGAUGGGGAGCGAAAUUUAGUAGCGAAGUAGCUGAUUUCACACUGUCAAGAAAAGUCUCUAUCGAGGUUAAAGGUACCCGUACCGCAAACCGACACAGGUGGGUGAGGAGAGUAUCCUAAGGCCAGCGAGAGAACUGUUGUUAAGGAACUCGGCAAAAUGACCCCGUAACUUAGGGAUAAGGGGUGCCACCAUCAGGUGGCCGCAGAGAAUAGGCCCAAGCGACUGUUUACCAAAAACAUAGGUUUCUGCUAAGUCGCAAGACGAUGUAUAGGAGCUGACGCCUGCCCGGUGCUGGAAGGUUAAGGGGAUCUGUUAGAGCAAUCGAAGCAGUGAACUUAAGCCCCAGUAAACGGCGGCCGUAACUAUAACGGUCCUAAGGUAGCGAAAUUCCUUGUCGGGUAAGUUCCGACCCGCACGAAAGGCGUAACGAUUUGGGCACUGUCUCAACAACAGACUCGGUGAAAUUGUAAUUCCGGUGAAGAUGCCGGAUACCUGCGACAGGACGGAAAGACCCCAUGGAGCUUUACUGUAGCUUGACAUUGGGUCUUGGUACUACAUGUACAGGAUAGGUGGGAGGCUUUGAAACCAGGACGCCAGUUUUGGCGGAGCCAUCCUUGGGAUACCACCCUUGUAGUACUGGGACUCUAACCAUAGGCCAUGAAUCUGGUCUUGGGACACUGUCAGGUGGGCAGUUUGACUGGGGCGGUCGCCUCCCAAAAGGUAACGGAGGCGCUCAAAGGUUCUCUCAGUACGGUCGGAAAUCGUACGUAGAGUGUAAAGGCAAAAGAGAGCUUGAUUGCAAGACAUACAGGUCGAGCAAGGAUGAAAAUCGGACUUAGUGAUCCGGUGGUUCUGCGUGGAAGGGCCAUCGCUCAACGGAUAAAAGCUACCCUGGGGAUAACAGGCUUAUCUCCCCCAAGAGUCCACAUCGACGGGGAGGUUUGGCACCUCGAUGUCGGCUCAUCACAUCCUGGGGCUGUAGUAGGUCCCAAGGGUUGGGCUGUUCGCCCAUUAAAGUGGUACGCGAGCUGGGUUCAGAACGUCGUGAGACAGUUCGGUCCCUAUCCGUCGCAGGCGUAGGAAAUUUGAGAAGACCUGUCCUUAGUACGAGAGGACCGGGAUGGACG
rnacentral:rRNA from 1 species